GAAACAUGAAAAUCAAGAAAAAGCUUCUAACUUAUUUCUUAAGCGGAGUAUUACCGUUUAUGUUUCU
rnacentral:tRNA from 1 species